GGGGGACCAUAAACAAAAAAUUACUAUGGGGGACCAUAAACAAAUCAUAAACAAAUAAAAAAACUUUCUAGGGUGUUGAUAGGGGGAGUUAUGUGUAGCUGAAUCCAUAUCUCACAUAUGCAUUUUUUAUGAUGACAAAAGAAAUUAUUUAUAGCUUCUUGCACACCAAAAUGACAAAGUUAUUGUUUGAUUAUAUCAUUGGUUGUGCUUGGAUUAUAUGUAUGUGUAUUCAUUGUUUAAGAAUGAAUAAUUGGAUAAAACACUUUGCAUAUUGCAUAUCUGGAUGAAUUAAUCGAU
rnacentral:lncRNA from 1 species